rnacentral:rRNA from 1 species
GAUGAACGCUGGCGGCGUGCCUAAUACAUGCAAGUCGAGCGAACAGACGAGGAGCUUGCUCCUCUGACGUUAGCGGCGGACGGGUGAGUAACACGUGGAUAACCUACCUAUAAGACUGGGAUAACUUCGGGAAACCGGAGCUAAUACCGGAUAAUAUAUUGAACCGCAUGGUUCAAUAGUGAAAGACGGUUUUGCUGUCACUUAUAGAUGGAUCCGCGCCGCAUUAGCUAGUUGGUAAGGUAACGGCUUACCAAGGCAACGAUGCGUAGCCGACCUGAGAGGGUGAUCGGCCACACUAGAACUGAGACACGGUCCAGACUCCUACGGGAGGCAGCAGUAGGGAAUCUUCCGCAAUGGGCGAAAGCCUGACGGAGCAACGCCGCGUGAGUGAUGAAGGUCUUCGGAUCGUAAAACUCUGUUAUUAGUGAAGAACAAAUGUGUAAGUAACUAUGCACGUCUUGACGGUACCGAAUCAGAAAGCCACGGCUAACUACGUG